AUUGAUCAAUAAAUUAAGAAAUUAUAUAAAAUAUAUUCUGAAUAAAAACUUUAUCCUUCCAAUGUAAAAGAGAUAGCUUCCAGCCGGAUAACUAAAUAUAACAUAUUUUACAAUGACAAAGCGUAAUCUUAUCGCUCUUACGUUGAACGUAAUUUCCGCUCGAAAGAAAUCGAAGAAAUCACGGCCUUAAGCGCUCAUCGCCGGCUACCCUUAUCAUUUUUAUUUCCGUUUACGAUUUCACGGUACAACAAAGUGACUUCAAACAGGGCAUCCGCAAGAUAAAGUACGAACGACAAGGGUUUUAGAAACAGAGCGAUGUGAGAAUUUACCGUCCAGCGUUGCGACCUGCAGGUAGUAACCCGCUUUUUUCAUCACAAAGCCGAGCCCGCGGAUAAUGGCUAGUGGUGACACGUGCUUUCCGGGAACUUAACGAGCACACGUCGGGAAAAGUUUCCAGCGCGAAUUAAUUUCCCGACAAGCAAGGGAGCAAAGGAGGAUGACGGAAGGGAGAAGUUUAAUCGUGCAGGUUUCUGCGUGGGGCCCCAGGCAAAGCGAAGCCGAUACGCGCGGUUUCGCGCUGGUUCCCGCGCGCAAAGACACGGCGGAAACCACCGCGCGCUCAGAAGAAGGAUGAGACCCGACUGUCGGAACAACCGUGACUGACAAUGAGUCACGUAAGGUCCGUGAGUCACGGGUGCACGAUGUACACCUCUCGGGGGUCGAAGAAUAGACGUCGUUAAGUGGCACGGCCUGGGAGAGUGCGCCGGGCCCAUCAUGAGAUGAAGCACGAACGAGUGCGGGCCCCGGUGUGUGCCCUCCUCGCGCACGGCGCAUCCCUUUUGUCCCAUCGGUUAUUGACCGCGACGCGUGAAAAAUAGAACGCUCGAGGGAUGAGACCUGCGUAAAAACUCAGGUAAAGCCAACUCCUCUCACGUGUCGAGAGCCGAGUUUUCCUCUGCGCACAGGUCACGAGACUUUAGAUACGAAGUUCUUCAAACGACUGAACGAUGAGCUUCUCUCGGUGCGUGCACGAGAUUUCUGGUUUAAUCUGUCGCCUUUGAACUUUUCCCAUCGUUGCGUGAGUCAAAGUCGACUAUUCAACUUGUAUAUUGCAGCAGAAGUAAGCGUCCGCUGGACAAGCGAGCAACUGCUAUUUUCAGUUACCUGUCUAUCAAUUGAUCGAUAUGUAUUUUUACAGAAAAGAGGAUUAAGUAGUGUAAUAAUAUUGUAAUAGAAUCGGAAGAGAAUAAAUAAAAAUAUCCUUUUAGUA